AACCACGUGUAAUUUAUACUUGGCAUCUUCUGCUCAAUGAAUAUUUUAAUAGCCGCAGUACCCUGACUGUGCAAAGGUAGCAUAAUCAUUUGUCUCAUAAAUGGAGUCUUGUAUGAAUGAAUGCAUGGGUAGAGACUGUCUCUGGGUAGUAAAAAGAAUUUUUUAAGUAAGUGAAAAUACUUAUGGAUAACUAAUAGACGAGAAGACCCUAGAAAUUUUUUAUUUGUAUUGUAUAAAGAACAUUAUAUUUAUUUUGCUGGGGCGGCAGAGUAACAAGUAAUAACUUACUCUAUGAAUAAGACUUUUAUUUACAGAUGAGCUAAAAUUACUCUAGGGAUAACAGCGUAAUUCUAAAGAGUUUGCGACCUCGAUGUUGGACUAGGAAAGAGAAUAUGCAGAAGGUAUUUUCUCACGUUCUGUUCGAACGACCACUCCUACAUG
rnacentral:rRNA from 1 species